rnacentral:rRNA from 1 species
UACGAAGGGGGCUAGCGUUGCUCGGAAUCACUGGGCGUAAAGCGCACGUAGGCGGCUUCUUAAGUCAGGGGUGAAAUCCUGGAGCUCAACUCCAGAACUGCCUUUGAUACUGAAGAUCUUGAGUUCGGGAGAGGUGAGUGGAACUGCGAGUGUAGAGGUGAAAUUCGUAGAUAUUCGCAGGAACACCAGUGGCGAAGGCGGCUCACUGGCCCGAUACUGACGCUGAGGCACGAAAGCGUGGGGAGCAAACAGG